ensembl:misc_RNA 7SK 7SK RNA
AGAUGUGAGGGUGAUCUGGCUUCGACAUCUGUCACUGAUUGCCAGGGUUGUUCGGUUGAUCUGGCUGGCUAGGCAGGUGUCCCUUUCUUCCCUCACCACUCCAUGUGCCUCCCUCUGGAAGCUGCACACUUGGUCCAAGAGGAUGACCAUCCCCAAUAGAAGAGGACUGGUCUUCAGUCAAGGGCAUAUGAGUAGCUGCACUCCUCUGAUAGAACCUCCAAACAGGCUCUGAAAAAAAUGAAGGCAUUUUCUAAUGUCAACUAAUAAUGUGGAGAGAGUACUGGAAUUAAAUCAUCAUUUUGCAAAAAUCAUAAUAAAACUGGUUCAGGCAGGAAUCAUCAAUGGAUG